ensembl:lncRNA
GGAGGGGAGGAGAGGCAGAAAGAAACCAAAUUUGAAUGUGUUAGAAGUUUCUGUCUUGGCUGCUAGACUCAGUUAUUCAUGUAGCUCUUGGUAAUGGCUCUCACCUUUUUUAGGAUUAACCUCCACGUUUUCCAUAACCAAGCAGUGCUGAGGGUACAUAACACCUUUGCCAAAGACUAUUCUAGUUAAGAGACGUGUGACUGCAAUAGCAUCUGAAAGGUAUCUGGUGCCAAGAGGAAGGAGAGCUUUGGAUUUUUGACCCUGAGCAUGGAGCUCUCACUGUUGGGCUGUAAGCUCUUCACAGCAUGAAGAAAGCACGAUUCACUGCUGUAACGGAGUUCUUCAGAAAAAAAAACGUGUUGUAUCCUGGGUAUUGCCUUGAAUUCUGCAGGUCAUGUCAAGGCUUCUGUAAAGUAUGUCUCAAAGCUUUAAAGAGCUCUUUUGCAACUGUCAAAGUGCUGAGAUCUGCAAGGAAUAGGGUCCCCUGAUAGAGUACAGCCAUGAAAUGAAAACAGAAGAGAAGGAAGAUAAAAGGAGCUGCAAUGCAGAACGGGGGUUACUCCAGCAAUAAGAUAAACUUCCACAACAGUGAGCAUCUCUGCUGUGACAGAGGGAACCUUCCCAGAGAGCUGGUAGGAAGGUCAGUAUCUGUGUCUUCCGAAAGCUGGGUGUUCAUCCUAUGUGUGCUUCACAGCUGGAGCCUGUAACCAAACCCCAAGCAAUACCCCGAGGCACUGCACCUCGGGGGCAGUGCGGUUGCUUGCUUUCAUUUGGGUUUUGGGGACAAUUUUUGAUUCCUUGAAACUUCUGGCUAUCCAACUUCAGGCCCACCUGGCUUCUUCCUACAUAAAGAAAUGCAAAAGCACGUUGUGUUGAUGCAACCUGCAGGAUAAACUGAAAGAUGCUG